UUCUUGUACAUAAAUCCUGAUCCCUUUAUCAAUUCUUGGGACUAGGAGAUCCAGUUCAAGCCCAGCGCCUAAUGUUGAUUUAGGGGAAAUUGUAUGUACAUAUAUGUUAACAAAAUUCACACUAUUUAACUGAAUUAUAUUAUGAAUGUAUGUAUAUUUAUAAUAGGCAUAAUUUCACAUAUUUUUUUUUGUUUUCUGUUUUUAUAAGCUUACUGUAGACAAAGGUGUAUUUAAAGUUAUUACGCUUUGGAUCAGAGAAGUCAACAACUAUACAGCCAAGCGCAGUGGGAAUAUCAAUUGAAUACAAUAAAUUAUAGAUGGGUUUCAGCAAAACGUUCUGGACUAUCACAUAGAAUAACACUAAAGGUAAGAGCUAAAGCUAUUUACACAGAAUACACUUGUAGGAUAGUAAUAAAUAGUUGUACCUAAAAUCGCAACAUAAUAUCCAACUGAAAAUGCACAAACGAGGAAAACAUAAUGGAUA
rnacentral:sRNA from 1 species